UAUGUACUCCCUCCGUCCGAAAAAGCGUGUUACAAGCUUGUCCCUCAAAUAGAUGUAUCUAGCACUAAUUUGGUGCUCGAUACCUUCAUUUGAGGGUCAAGUUUUUUCGGACGGAGGGAGUAUGAG
rfam:Triticum aestivum genome assembly, contig: Triticum_aestivum_CS42_TGACv1_scaffold_556152_7AL